CAAAAAAAAAAAAAAAAAAAACAAAGAAAAUUAAAACCAAUGUUUGAACAAUGAUACUUCAAAUUUAUGGUUUCAAAAAACAGAUUCCAAUUUUAUAUCCUGCAUUAUGGGAUAUCGUAAAAAAAAGUUUUAGACUUGUUUCCCAUCUUCUUAUUCUGUAAAUUCAAUAAACACUCUUUCAACAAAAUUUUAUCUUUACAUUUGUAAUUUAUAUACUAUGCAUUUAUGUAUUAUUAUUAUCACUUAGGGGAUCCAUGGGCAAAUUUUGACUACAUAAAGGGGUUUUUGGGUCAAAAAAGAUUAAGAACCACUAGACUAAGAGAAUGGAUAUAUAACAACUUUGCAAAAAAUAAAUAAAUAAACAAAUAUAACAAGAAUUGAGUGAUUAUCUUUAUACUAGUGACACAAAAAGAUCUAACAGGUAACUGACUAUGUCACAACAUACAACAUAAGCCAACCAUUUCGACAUCAAUUAUGAUGCAUUUAGUAUUAUCAGUUAAUGUAAAAUAAGCUACUGAGAAUGUAACUAUUGUAAAAAAAAAUUAAUCCAGUGAUUACAUGUUAAUAAAAGCAUCAAAUACUGUGGAAGAUUAGUCAUAAUACUUUGUUUGUCAUAAAAAGCACUUAAAAUUUAUAUAAACUAUUUAUAUAUAUAUAUAUAAAU